rnacentral:lncRNA from 1 species
CUAGAGGGUGCUAAGACAUGGGGCCAGGUGCCCAGGGGCUGCCCAUUGUGGUAGGGACAGAGUCCCCAGUGGCGGGAGUGUUGUGGCAAUCUCACCCUUUUAGCUCUUUCCGAAAUUGUGCCGGGGGUCCCUGCGGUGCUGCUCUGGGGCCUUAUCUGAGGUGCCGUAUCUAGAAGCACCCUUGGGAAUUCUCCCUAGAUACACUCGAUUGGCCACAGAGGAAUCCGAGGCUGUGCAAUGGGGUGUCCUUUCCACGUGCACGGACUGGGGGCCAGCACGGCUCAGGUCAGUGUGUAGUGGGGGCAUGAACUCCUUGAAGAACAAUCUGGCCGGGCACGGUGGCUCACGCUUGUAAUCCCAACACUUUGGGAGGCCGAGCCGGGGCGUAUCACCUGAGGUCAGGAGUUUGAGACCAGCUUGGCCAACAUGGUGAAACCCCAUCUCCACAAAAAAUACAAAAAUUAGCUAGGUGUCCUGGCGCACACCUGUAAUCCCAGCUACUCAGGAGGCUAAGGCAUGAGAAUCGCUUGAACCUGGGAGGCGGAGGUUGCAGUGAGCCAAGAUUGCACCACUGCACUCCAGCCUGGGCGACAGAGGGAGACUCCGUCUCAGAAAAAGGAAAAGAAAAACAAUCUACUUAGAUCUUAAAAUGGAUAUUUAAAAAAUUCUCCAGAGAAAGCCAGAAGAAAAUAGGUGACUUUUUCACUAUGUGCUUAGGUGACUGCAGAUGCCCGGCAAUGUUCCCUCCCAGGCCCUCCUGGGUGAGCCCGCCUCCCAGGCAGGGGUCAGCAUGGCCGGGGUCCCUCUGUCUGAGCCCAGGAUUCGUGCAACACCAGGAAGACAACAGUUGAAGGUUCCUUAGUGAGCUAAGGGAAGUAUACACAAACUUACUACAUAAACAUUAGAAAGUGCUGUCCGUAAAAAACACGUCUUCACAGAGCCAACAAGCAGAGAAAUAGCUGCCCAGUGUUAGGAAGUGCAUCAUGAUCCAGAGGUUCAGCCCGUGUGCAGCGCACAGACCUGAGGCCCCAGAGAGACCGAGGACGCAGACCAGUGGCACGACGGAAACGCAGAACGUUUAUGAGAAAACUUUCCUACUAAUUGAGAUAAAGCUGUAAAGAGGCAGAUAGCCCCACUGGGUGUGUACGUUUGAAACUUGUGCCCCCUGGGCUAGGGCAUUCGGGGUGUGGCCCUCAGUCCCCUGUAGCUGCUGCCUGGAAACCGCUGCCACCCACCCACCUCCUCCCUCUGCUCUUCCACUCAGGUGAGAAUUCUCCAAGCCCUGCCCUCCGGCGCCCCCGUCCCGCCCCUGCCCGGCCUGGCCCCGCCCCUGCCCGGCCCCGCCCCCCAACGUGUCUUCAGGUCUCUUUCCCUCCAGCCGGCCCUUAGGACGGCUGUUGGACGUGCUCGUGAGUCCUUCGCCUGUCUGCCUUCCACCUCUCUGCAGCUCCUUCUCCAAUCUCAUGGUCUUCUUGAGCUUGGCCGCCCUCCACGCCCCAUGCUGGGCUUGGUCGGUUCUGGGGUCUACCUCUCUGGCUUCAUCCCUCCCACAGUUUCGAGGGUUUCCCUGUGCUCAGGCCCCUGGCAGCCGCCCCCUGUGCAGACCACUGGGCAGAUCCAGCUGACCUCCAGGGGCACUUCCUCGGCUCAUCACUGGGCCGGUGCUCUGCAGAAUGAGCUGUGAGAGCCACUGUGGCUGGCCAGAGGGUGCCACUCACAGUCACUUCAGACUCACAGGAGCCUUCGUCCCGACCCCUGCAUUCAUCUGUGUUCUGUUUUAUGUUUUUUCCCAGUCACCUGAGCUGCAGGCCUUGGUCACCCCAGACUCCUCCCUCCUGUCACCCUUAUCCUCACCCCAGCACCUUUACGUCUGCCCCAGGCUCCAUUUCCCCCUCUUCUGCCUGGAUCAAACCACCCUGACUUUCCUGGGUCUUCGUGCAACAGCCUGCUCCGGCCGCUGCCUCACUGCACCUGCAAAUCCACUUGCACCCACACCCAGGCCAGGGUUUUUAAACAGAAGCCUCAGCAGAUCCCUCUCUCUGGCCAGCUCCCUGUUGAACCAGGAAGCAGGUCCCUGUUGAACCUCAGCAUGACCCGCCCCCACCCCUGCAUCCCACUUCUGCUCUGGGAGCCUCUGGGUUCCUGGGCGCACCUGCUGCCCUUCCCUGUUUGUCACUGGGUGACCUCCCGUCCUUGUGGGCGCUCCCGGGCCCUGGUCUCGGGCCUUCUGAGGACUUGCUCUCCUGGUAGCGGCUGCUGACUGUGAGCCCAGAGAGCAGGCGUGGCUGUUGACCUUAGGUCCUCCCAGAACCUGGCGGAUCGCCUGGCUCCCAGGCAGGAGGCGCUGCAUGACGCCUCCAACUUCCGCCAAUCUAGCCCAAGGAUGGCGUUCUAAAUAAAACGCGUUCUACAG